rnacentral:lncRNA from 1 species
AAUCCAAUUACCGAGCCCAUUACUGCGUUAGGAGGAAAACUCCCUUUAGUUGUUAGCUUGACUAUUGUCGAACGUGUACGCGUCGAUAUUAAGCUAGAGCCAUUGAAAACAAAAUGAAACACAUUUUUAGAUGAAACUCCAGCCUACAACGAUUUGCUAGACCUAACAAAUUCUGAGGAGACAAUUUACAGAAACACACCAAUUGUAAAUUGUGACUUAGAGAUGAUUUUCAGCAUAUUGAGAGCCAUUCAUAUAAAAAUAAGAUCCUGUUUAUUUGUAAAAAGUGUCAGGAACAAGCUAAUUAAAAAAAGGAAUAUUGAAAUACUAGAUUCCUAAGAGGAAAUAACUUUUUUAUGAAUAAAUUACAUUCAUUCUUAAAUAUAGUAACAAGAACAACAGCAUGAAUGGUCUCAAAGGGGGUCUUAGAUUCAAAUGGCGUUUGUCUAACAUCAGUUUCUUCGUGUAAAGACAUGGGUAAGUUAUUAUUAAUGUAUUAAUAUCUCCGAGAUAAGGUGUUAGAGAACUACAGUAAUAUGGUCAAGAACAAACCGCAUAAAUGUCGUCAAAGGGAGUCUUAGCUUCAAAUAGCGUGCAAAUAGUUUGUCUAACAUUACUCUCUUCGGGUUAAGAAUUGGGUGUGUUCCAUGGAUUCCAACAUGUUUAACUUUGCAAAUUACUUAGAUGACGAAAAAUGAGGAUUCUACGUGGAAUUUGAAGUAUGAUAGGGAAAAGAGAGAUUUUAUUUCUACUCAUAAUUAGUAACUAUUUUUCUGUAUAAAAA